GACGAACGCUGGCGGCGUGCCUAAUACAUGCAAGUCGAGCGAGCAGAACCAGUAGAUUUACUUCGGUAAUGACGCUGGGGACGCGAGCGGCGGAUGGGUGAGUAACACGUGGGGAACCUGCCCCAUAGUCUGGGAUACCACUUGGAAACAGGUGCUAAUACCGGAUAAUAAAGCAGAUCGCAUGAUCAGCUUAUAAAAGGCGGCGUAAGCUGUCGCUAUGGGAUGGCCCCGCGGUGCAUUAGCUAGUUGGUAAGGUAACGGCUUACCAAGGCAAUGAUGCAUAGCCGAGUUGAGAGACUGAACGGCCACAUUGGGACUGAGACACGGCCCAAACUCCUACGGGAGGCAGCAGUAGGGAAUCUUCCACAAUGGACGCAAGUCUGAUGGAGCAACGCCGCGUGAGUGAAGAAGGUUUUCGGAUCGUAAAGCUCUGUUGUUGGUGAAGAAGGAUAGAGGUAGUAACUGGCCUUUAUUUGACGGUAAUC
rnacentral:rRNA from 1 species